CUUCUUCUUCGCUGUUUCUUGAUCACAGAGUGAAGUUUUCCCAUGGAUGAGCAUUUCCUCUGGAGCCUGCUGUUGGGAAACUCACCGCUGAAUCUUUGAUCAAGUGUGCUGUCAAGGGCAGGGAGAUUUGCAGCAGGAAGACUCCUCACUUCGCUUUGUUGUUCAAUCCUGCCCAGAAAAUGUUGUGCCUUCGCUGAAGGAAUACUCAUAGAACACAUUCCUGAAGUAUCGCUGUCUGAAUUUGUUUUCCUUCACAUCUGGCAAUAAGGAAGUUCAGGGACAUUUUUAGUGUAUAUUUCCUGGUGAUUCGCCAAUAAUAAACGUCAUGUUUCAGGUACACCUGUAAUCAACUUUUGUAAGUUGAGGGAACUGUAUUUCUCCUUAAUAGUAAAUAUACUGUUAUUAUAGAUACAAGCCCUGACAAGCUUGUUUUUUAUACUGAAAAAGUGUAUUGAUAAUAAAAGCAUCC
rnacentral:lncRNA from 1 species